AUUUACCAAUUGAGUCAUCUACUGUUGAUCUGAAUCUGCCAAUAGAAUAUCCUGUGGUUGAUUUGAAUCUACCUGUGGAGUCUCCUACGGCUGAUCUGGGAAGUGAAAGCCAACCAAAAUCUGGAGGUUCUCUAGGAAAAGCUCCAAGUCUUGGUUCAAGCAACUCAAGGACUCCUAAAUCCCCUUGGAUGCCCUUUCCUAUGUUGUUUUCUGCAAUCUCAAGUAAAGUUCCUCGUACAGAAAUGGAACGUAUAGCUACUCAUUAUGAACUAUUCCGGGCAAAGAAGAUAAGCAGGGAAGAUUUUAUCAAAAGGUUGAGAUUGAUAGUUGGAGAUGCUUUACUGAAGUCGACGAUAACGAGUCUUAAUGUGAGGCACCAUUGAAGUGUGCGGAGGGAACAGCUAAGUCAACUGUAGAAGGUUAAGUGGGCUUUGAUGGAUCAAAGCGGCUCAUGCUCUGCUGAACUGCUGUGUUGGAAUUUAAGUGUGGUUGAAUGUGUUGACUUGAAGUUCUGAAUAAUGUCUGUGACUGUUUUAAGUGUGUAGGUUUAGUUGUAUCGUAUUUUCUAUUUGUUGCUGAAGGGUUGUUGGUUUAUGGAACAGAAUGCCUUGCAAGAGUGUAAUAAUCUACUGUGCUAAUUUGUCUCAUCUUUCAACUUC
rnacentral:misc_RNA from 1 species